rnacentral:tRNA from 1 species
GCACCCGUAGCUCAACUGGAUAGAGCAGCGGUCUUCGGAACCGCAGGUUACAGGUUCGACUCCUGUCGGGUGUA